AUACUCCUACCUUGACUUUAAAGAUGAGCUGAAAAGAAAGCCAGACAAAAAUCGUCCUGCACCAACUGAAUACGCCAGUAUUGAUAUGAGUAAACUGGCACCUGUCGAGAAAAAAGACGACAAGAAAGGCGGUGACAAAGAAGGAGAUGAAAAGAAGGAAUAAACUGGCGAUCGUCGUUAAUAAAACAAGAACAGAAUACAAGAUGGCAAAGUUUGACUUCCUUUCAUUUGUUUUGUUCUGGUGGAUUUCAACAUGUCAAGGAAUUAUUCAAUCACCUCCCUCUGGAACAAGUUUUACAUUUCUACCUGGAGAAAC